GGGGGCGUACUGGCUUCGACGGGGGAAUAAGGAGCAAAAGAAGCGAGCCGGGGUUCCAUCUGCCCGCAAAACGGUGGAAGGCUAAUAACUGCCAACAAUAACGAAUACGCACUGGCUGCUUAAUUAAGCAACCCGUCCGCCUGGUCUGGCCUGCGAACCAGUAACGGGCGUCACAUAGCAGGCUCACCCGCUUUCUCUUAAUCCCUGGAGAGACUGCCGGGAGCACCAACGGGGAUAGCUGAUAGGAAGCCUGCCGGUAGGCGUCCUUGAAGCGAAAUUAAACUAUCGGCUGCGCUCGGAGAGGCUUUUG
rnacentral:tmRNA from 1 species